UACGAAGGGGGCUAGCGUUGCUCGGAAUCACUGGGCGUAAAGGGUGCGUAGGCGGGUUUUUAAGUCAGGGGUGAAAUCCUGGAGCUCAACUCCAGAACUGCCUUUGAUACUGGCAAUCUUGAGUCCGGAAGAGGUGAGUGGAACUCCGAGUGUAGAGGUGAAAUUCGUAGAUAUUCGGAAGAACACCAGUGGCGAAGGCGGCUCACUGGUCCGGUACUGACGCUGAGGUGCGAAAGCGUGGGGAGCAAACAGGG
rnacentral:rRNA from 1 species